rnacentral:rRNA from 1 species
UACGUAGGGGGCAAGCGUUGUCCGGAUUUAUUGAGCGUAAAGAGCGUGUAGGCGGUUUGGUAGGUCCGCUGUGAAAACUCGAGGCUCAACCUCGAGACGCCGGUGGAAACCAUCAGACUAGAGUCCGGAAGAGGAGAGUGGAAUUCCUGGUGUAGCGGUGAAAUGCGCAGAUAUCAGGAAGAACACCCGUGGCUAAGGCGGCUCUCUAGUACGGUACUGACGCUGAGACGCGAAAGCGUGGGGAGCGAACAGG